GACAGAGGGUGCAAACGUUGUUCGGAAUUACUGGGCGUAAAGCGUGUGUAGGCGGCUACGCAAGUCGGAUGUGAAAGCCCCGGGCUCAACCCGGGAAGUGCACCCGAAACUGCGUGGCUCGAGUACCGGAGAGGUUGGUGGAAUUCUCGGUGUAGAGGUGAAAUUCGUAGAUAUCGAGAGGAACACCGGUGGCGAAGGCGGCCAACUGGACGAGUACUGACGCUGAGACGCGAAAGCGUGGGGAGCAAACAGG
rnacentral:rRNA from 1 species